GGCUACGGCCGUGGCUCGUUGAUACACCCGAUCCCUUGAUCUUGAAAGUUAAGCAAUGUAUGCAGUUGGGUCAUUACUUGGAUGGGAGACCACCAAGGAAGACUGGAUGCUGUAGCCU
rnacentral:rRNA from 1 species